GUGAGGGAUGGUGGUACGUACCUGUCAUCCUAGCUAUCGGGGAGGCUGAGGCUGGAGGAUCUCUGGGGUUAAGGAGUUCUGAGCUUCGGGGAGCUAUGCCAAUCGAGUGUCCACACUAAGUUCAGCAUUAAUAUGUGAGCCACCAAAAGCAGAGGGCCACCAGGUCACCCAAGGAGUCCGGGUCAGAAAUGAAACAGGUCAGAGUUCCCCUGCUAAUCAGUAGAAGGACUGGGCUCGUGAACAGACCCUGACACUUCUUGCCUGGGCAAGACAGAGAUACUCAGUCUUUU
ensembl:misc_RNA Metazoa_SRP Metazoan signal recognition particle RNA